ACUCCCGAAGAAAAUGUUCACCGCAAAAACAAAAACCAGGAAAGCAAAGCAACAAGGGCACACCAAAUUUAUACUCAUCUGUACUACCACUGCCUCACUCAUUGAUCUUCCUUCUUUCUUAUGAGUGUCUUCUUAAAUAAAAAGAAAAAGGAUAAAGACAGAAGCUGUUUUAAGUUCAUGAGCUCGGUCUCAGAGAAAGCGACUCUGAAGAAGAAUCUUGAAAAAUAUCGAAAGGGUUAGAAGCCGUGAAGCAAAGCUCGCUCUCUCAUCUGAACCAGUAAUCAUGUGCUCUUCCACUAAUAAUAACAUUAGUAGUAGUGGUACUGUAUUUCCUUUCCCACCUUAUAACUUUCCCUUUUCCUCCUCUUCUUCUCAUAACAGCCACCAUCCUCUUCUUCCUCAAGAAAAUACAAUCUGUGGAGGCAUUUUUGGCCUACACCAUGAUCAAUUUUCCCUAUUAAACAAUUGUUUGCUGUCACCCGGACCGGAAAGUACUUUGGUCAACCUCGGAGGAGCUUCAUCAAACGCGAUCGUACCAUCAUCUGGAGGCUACCAGCAGCAUUAUGGUUAUGGUAAUAAUAUUACUCAUCCCUAUUUUGUUUCUAAGGAGGUGAGAGUACCGGUGGUUGCUGUGAAGAAAGACCGGCACAGCAAGAUCUUCACUUCUCAGGGGUUGAGGGAUCGGAGGGUAAGACUCUCCAUCAAUGUUGCCCGUGAGUUCUUCGAUCUCCAAGACUUGCUAGGGUUUGACAAAGCCAGCAAAACCUUAGAGUGGCUGCUCAGCAAUUCCACAAAGGCCAUCAAAGACCUAGAAAAGAGCAAGUGCAAUAACAGUACUAGUAUAUCAUCUUCUAGUACUUCGGACUGUGAUGAUGUUUUGGACAUAAACAACGAGGCGUCCGAUGACAAGAGGAGGAAGAUGAAGGAGGCUGCUGCUAUAAUGGCCAGAGCAUCGCGGGCAAAGGCUAGAGCAAGAGCAAGAGAAAGAACAAGAGAGAAGAUGUGCAGUACUAGUACGAGGAGCCCUCAGAUCUGUAGCCAGUUGAGCUUGUUCAAUGAGCUUGAACAUGCAGAUAUGAAUAAAGAACCGGGCAGUACACUCCUAUCUAUUUGUCAAGCUGAAUAUCAUGAAUCUGUUGCGCUCAAAAGAGAGCUGAAGGCGCCGUCAGUUUCCAAUUAUCAUGAUCGAAGCCUUGAAUUGAACCCCAAAAGCACGGAACCUAGUUCAAAUUGCUGCAGCCACAUUAAUAUCCAAUUUCCGAAUGCAAUAUCUCAAAAUUAUUGGGACAUCAGCGGCACUGUCUUCACAUGCCCUAGCAUUUGUGCCAUUACCACCAACAUGAAUCUUAAUUCUACGGGUAUAGAGUGUCAAAGACACACUUCGCCUUUUCCCCCCCUUCUUUUGACAUAAUCUAGACAUAUAUUUUAAUAUUUCUGUUAAUUAACAUGCAGGGUCUUAAAUCUAUAGCAACAUCUGGGAGGCUAGCACAAAUCAAGGACUACAAUGACCAUUUGCAAACCAAACAGAUAAAAAGAGACUUUGUAUCAAGCAAGGAGCCGAAAACUUCUCAAAUUGAUGACUAUAUAUACAUAUUGAUAAUACAAAUGAUGAACUCAAGGGAAAAAAAAAUUCUCAAUUUGUAUUCUAAGCAUAGGCAUAUGAUUAUUGAACUUCUGUUUUUGUCAGACUCUUGAGUCGCGGUUGAAAUUAAA